UCCAGCUCUAAGGUUUUCUACCUUGCGGAAAUGCCCGGCGUUCGCGCCGGGCAUUUUUUCUUGCUUCA
rnacentral:misc_RNA from 1 species